UCAUGUCAGCUAUUGUGUCAGUUUUCAUUUCAACUUCUUUCCAUAGGGAACGAUUUAUGCGGUUUUUUUUUCGUUUGUACGCGCGAACUCGUCUUAAAUUAGCGGUUUUUUUAUUUUGGCGUUUUUUUUUAAGUUUUUUCUUACUUUUUACGUUGAGAUCAUUAUUAAUUUUUUCUAUAAAUUUUAUGUCUUAUAUUUUUUGUUAAACACGAACGUGCUUGAAAAAAACUAGUGCGAUUUUUUUUUGUGAAAAAAAAAUUUAACGAAAAAUUAAUACAACAAAUUAAUGAAUUGUAUAAUCUACUAAUAACAUACAACUAAUUAAAUGCUGUAGCUAAUAAAUUAAUCAAAUAUAGAGCAAAAAAAAAAAAAAAAUUAAAAAAGUUUCGGUUCUAAGUUGAUCCAUUAGUAGUACAAUUUUAAGAGUGUGUGGUGUGUGUGCCUUUUUUUGUUAAUUCUAAUUCAACAAAAAAAUAUUAUUGUUUUUGCUGUUGUUAUUCUUGCCAGAGUUCUAUGUUAAUUGAUUGAAAAAUUAUACAAAAUUUCGUAGAGCAAAAAAAAAAAUAAAUAAAAUUAAAAUAAAAACAAAAUUAAAAUAAAAUAAAUUUUGUUUUAUUUAACAAAAAAUUUAAAAAAAAAUAGCAAAAUGUGGAAGUGGUUGUUUUAAAAAUAAACAAAAAAGCGUUUUUUCUAAAAAAAAUAUUUAAUUUUGUGCGAAGUGUAGCUCUCAAACUUGUUCAUUUUUAUUUUUACAUUUAUCUAUACAUUGACCGAAACAGCAGCAACAAGAACUACCAGAAAUCUAAACACCUUAGAGAGAAAAAACCAACAAUAAUUUGAAACUUGUUAAUUGAUUUGUGCAUAAAUUAGUGCAAAAUUGACAGACAGACAGACAGGUGUAAAAGCUGUUUUUCAUUUAAAAGUACUAUUUAACACAACGAGAAGUUUAAGGAAAAAAUUUAAAAUUCCAACAAACUCAACAAUUAAACAACAAAUAGUGCGUAUUUUUUUUUACAACAUACUUGAAAAAAAAAAGAAAUUAUUUACUACAUUUUGUUAACCCUUCAUAAAUUUAUUGAUAAAAGUUAAAAAAAA